rnacentral:lncRNA from 1 species
CAGCCUUGCACCUGUUUUUUGCAGCUGCUUUACUUUUAAUUUGCAGAGCAUGAUUCCAUCAGCAAAAGGAGAAUAUCUACUUUAUUUUUUCUGUUGUUUUUUUUUUUUUCUCUUUAGGGAAAAAUGUGCCUCAGAGACUGCUGACCUCAGACCUUGCAGAAACCUGCUUUAUCAGAGCUGUGAUGGCCAGUCAUCAAACAGAAGUUCAGAGUUUGAAGCUAGAUAAUGAUUCAGUUAUAGAAGGAGUAAGUGACCAGGUACUGGUGGCAGUUGUGCUCAGUUUCACUUUCAUUGCUGCUCUGGUAUAUACGCUUUUAAGGUGAGAAUGUGUUGAGAGGAAUUAUUAAUUUCUUAUAAAAAUACUAACUUCCUUGACAAUUUUGUGCAUUGGUACAUAAAAACUGUGAUUUUGUGACAGUAAGGCAGCGGUUGUUUGAUUGUUUACUAUGUUUAAUUAAUUGCUUGACACAGCUAGAAUCAAAAGUCAAGUUCAACUCCUCCUUAUCUUCAGAUAAUCAAACUGAGUAGUGUUCGUCACGCCUUAAGACUGAAAAUGGUUAAAUUCACAGUCUAUAUGACUGCCGUGUUGUAUUUGGUUAAAAAGUACAGAUUUGUCAACGACUCCAAGAUUAAAAUUGGAUAUAUUCUCCAAUGUAUGUUCUAGCUGCAGUCUCCUUACAAGAAAACAAGCAAACAACAACCCAAAUCCAAAUAAAUUGACUGAUUUUUUUUUCCA